AGUGAACGCUGGCGGUAGGCCUAACACAUGCAAGUCGAACGGCAGCACAGUAAGAGCUUGCUCUUACGGGUUGCGAGUGGCGGACGUGUGAGGAAUACAUCGGAAUCUACUUUUUCGUGGGGGAUAACGUAGGGAAACUUACUCUAAUACCGCAUACGACCUACGGGUGAAAGCAGUGGAUCUUCUGACCUUGCGCGAUUGAAUGAGCCGAUGUCGGAUUAGCUAGUUGGCGGGUUAAAGGCCCACCAAGGCGACGAUCCGUAGCUGGUCUGAGAGGAUGAUCAGCCACACUGGAACUGAGACACGGUCAAGACUCCUACGGGAGGCAGCAGUGGGGAAUAUUGGACAAUGGGCGCAAGCCUGAUCCAGCCAUACCGCGUGGGUGAAGAAGGCCUUCGGGUUGUAAAGCCCUUUUGUUGGGAAAGAAAAGCAGCAGGUUAAUACCCCGCUGUUCUGACGGUACCCAAAGAAUAAGCACCGGCUAACUUCGUG
rnacentral:rRNA from 1 species